UCCCAGUCCUUCCUUCAGCUCGAGGCUCCUUUUUCAUGUCAGCCAAUGCCCCACAUGUUCCAAUAAGCCCUGAGCGGGAAGUUGAAUGUGCUUCCCUUUGCAGCACACAUUUCCACUUCUGUAGGAAGACAAGUAGAGCAAAUUGGGUUACAGCGGAGAAUGACAUUAAGGUAUCAGUGGGACAACAGAAAUGGUUGGGUUUGUGUCAAAAAAGAAGGAAUCUCACAGAUAUUCAAGUUUUCAAGGCCUUUGGGUUCCCACAAAAAUUCUCCCUCAAAUUAACUGGAAGUCUUCAACUAAGGAAAGAUGCUUGGAAACAGGCAAAGGAAGAGUAAAUCUUUUACAGGAUACUUUUACUUCUACAAAAUGACUCCAGGGGAAAUCCUCCAGAAAUCACCAAAGCCUUCAGCUACAGAAAAUCAAAUGGAACCAAGACACUAACAAGAACUUCAAAGGAGACAAACAGUAAGAGAGACCCACUGUUCCUCUGGGCAUCUGCAAUGGUAUAUUCCUCAAAUACAGACCAGAGCAUUUGCAGUAGAGUAAUGUACAUUUUACCACUGCAGUCUUUUUUAAAAAUAAUUUUCCAUGAAAGUACCUAACACUAGAGAAAUGGGAAUUGUAUUAGCCCUCUUCCAUUGACCACCAAUCUAGUGUAUAAUUUGAUGUGGCUAGUGGCAAACAUAAAAUUUAAUUGCAGUCUCAUAUUUUAUAUAAAAGGUGUAAUAUCUACAUUUCACUUUUAUUUUGCCUUUCCUUUUGUAUUUAAAGUUAUGAAUUUUUUUAAUAGAAAAUAAUGUAUAUCCACUUAGCUAUACUGCUAAGUUUUGCAGCAAGACUGUGGGGAGGAGAAGAUGGAGGAAUAAAGACAUAGAUCAUUCUAAAGUUGAAUAUAUG
rnacentral:lncRNA from 12 species